AUUGAACGCUGGCGGCAAGCCUAACACAUGCAAGUCGAACGAGUGGCGGAAGGGUGAGUAAUGUCUGGGAAACUGACUGAUGGAGGGGGAAAAAUAAUGGAAACGGUAGCUAAUCCCGCAUCACAACGGAUGUGCCCAGAUGGGAGUAGCUAGUGGGUGGGGUAAAGGCUCACCUAGGCGCCGAUCCCUAGCUGGUCUGAGAGGAUGACCAGCCACACUGGAACUGAGACACGGUCCAGACUCCUACGGGAGGCAGCAGUGGGGAAUAUUGCACAAUGGGCGCAAGCCUGAUGCAGCCAUGCCGCGUGUAUGAAGAAGGCCUUCGGGUUGUAAAGUACUUUCAGCGGGGAGGCGUUACCCGCAGAAGAAGCACCGGCUAACUCCGUGCCAGCAGCCGCGGUAAUUC
rnacentral:rRNA from 1 species